CCAGGGCUACACACGUGCUACAAUGGGAAGGACAAAGGGUCGCUAAGCCGCGAGGUGGUGCUAAUCUCAUAAACCUUUUCGUAGUCCGGAUCGGAGUCUGCAACUCGACUCCGUGAAGUCGGAAUCGCUAGUAAUCGUGGAUCAGAACGCCACGGUGAAUACGUUCCCGGGUCUUGUACACACCGCCCGUCAUACCAUGGGAGUGGGUUGCACCAGAAGUGGGUAGUCUAACUUAGGAGGACGCUCACCACGGUGUGAUUCAUGACUGGGGUAAAGUCGUAACAAGGUA
rnacentral:rRNA from 1 species